AAAAGCUAAAAAGCCCAUGCUUCUAUUGACUUUGAUCUCCCAAGGGCACCUGAGGAAAGAAAACGCAAGCCCUCUCUCUCUCUCCAGCCAUGAGUCUCUUUGGUCUGGGCAGAAAUCAAAGGACAUUCCGCCCCAAAAAGAGUGCACCAUCAGGAAGUAAGGGUGCACAACUUAGAAAGCACAUUGAUGCCACCCUAGGCAGCGGAAACCUGAGGGAAGCUGUAAGACUUCCUCCUGGGGAGGAUUUGAACGAGUGGCUUGCUGUAAACACUGUGGAUUUCUUCAACCAGGUGAAUCUUCUCU
rnacentral:misc_RNA from 1 species